GUGCUCCGGCAGUACAUAUACUAAAAUUGGAACGAUACAGAGAAGAUUAGCAUGGCCCCUGCGCAAGGAUGACACGCAGAUUCGUGAAGCGUUCCAUAUUUUA
rnacentral:snRNA from 1 species